GCCGGAAUAGUCAGUCGGUAGAGCAGAGGACUGAAAAUC
rnacentral:tRNA from 1 species